AACGAACGCUGGCGGCAGGCCUAACACAUGCAAGUCGAGCGCGCCCUUCGGGGUGAGCGGCGGACGGGUGCGUAACGCGUGGGAACGUGCCCUUCUCUGCGGAAUAACCUCGGGAAACUGGGAGUAAUACCGCAUAAGCCCUUUGGGGGAAAGAUUUAUCGGCGUAGGAUCGGCCCGCGUUGGAUUAGGUAGUUGGUGGGGUAAUGGCCUACCAAGCCGACGAUCCAUAGCUGGUCUGAGAGGAUGAUCAGCCACACUGGGACUGAGACACGGCCCAGACUCCUACGGGAGGCAGCAGUGGGGAAUCUUAGACAAUGGGGGCAACCCUGAUCCAGCCAUGCCGCGUGAGUGAUGAAGGCCUUAGGGUUGUAAAGCUCUUUCAGCUGGGAAGAUAAUGACGGUACCAGCAGAAUAAGCUCCGGCUAACUCCGUG
rnacentral:rRNA from 1 species